rnacentral:tRNA from 1 species
GGCCCUAUCGUCUAACGGUUAGGACGCACGGUUCUCAUCCGUGUAAUCAGGGUUCGAUUCCCUGUGGGGCUG